CCAGGCCCCGCCUUUUCGGUCCGGGAACGGUGCGCAGAGCCCCAGUGGACCAUGGUGGCCUCCAGGCUCUAUACCUUGGUGCUGGUACUGCAGCCACAGCGCGUUCUUCUGGGCAUGAAGAAGCGGGGCUUUGGGGCUGGCCGUUGGAAUGGCUUCGGGGGCAAAGUACAAGAAGGAGAGACCAUCGAGGAUGGGGCCAAGAGGGAGCUGCAGGAGGAGAGUGGUCUGACAGUGAACACGCUGUACAAGGUGGGCCACAUUGAGUUUGAGUUCGUGGGCACCCCCGAGCUGAUGGAUGUGCACAUCUUCUGUACUGACAGUGUGCAGGGGACGCCCCAGGAGAGCGACGAAAUGCGCCCUCAGUGGUUCCAACUGGACCAGAUCCCCUUUGGUGACAUGUGGCCUGACGACAGGUACUGGUUCCCACUCCUGCUUCAAAAGAAGAAGUUCCAGGGGUACUUCAAGUUCCAGGGUCAGGACACCAUCGUGGACUACUCACUGCACGAGGUAGAAGAAAUCUAGCACCAAGCUGGAGCUGCCAGUUCAGCCACAUUCGUGGCACCAAGAGUUGGGCUUAUUUUUUCUGUUUGGGCACCACGGGCGGCAGUGGCCACCUGAAGGGAAUUGGCCAGAAACACCAUUUGGAAAGACGCUUUAGUGAGGCCGCAGG